rnacentral:rRNA from 1 species
CAGUAGCCGCGGUAAUACGUAGGUCCCGAGCGUUGUCCGGAUUUAUUGGGCGUAAAGGGAGCGCAGGCGGUUUAGUAAGUCUGAAGUUAAAGGCAUUGGCUCAACCAAUGUAUGCUUUGGAAACUGUUAGACUUGAGUGCAGAAGGGGAGAGUGGAAUUCCAUGUGUAGCGGUGAAAUGCGUAGAUAUAUGGAGGAACACCGGUGGCGAAAGCGGCUCUCUGGUCUGUCACUGACGCUGAGGCUCGAAAGCGUGGGUAGCGAACAGGAUUAGAUACCCCGGUAGUCCCUGUCUCUUAUACA